rnacentral:tRNA from 1 species
GUGGGCGUGGUGCAGCGGCGCAGCACGUCACCGUGCCACGGUGAAGACGCGGGCUCGACUCCCGUCGUCCACUCGA